CCUACGGGAGGCUGCAGUGGGGAAUAUUGGACAAUGGGCGAAAGCCUGAUCCAGCCAUGCCGCGUGUGUGAAGAAGGCCUUCGGGUUGUAAAGCACUUUCAGUGGGGAAGAAAGCCUUGGGGUUAAUACCCUCGAGGAAGGACAUCACCCACAGAAGAAGCACCGGCUAACUCCGUGCCAGCAGCCGCGGUAAUACGGAGGGUGCGAGCGUUAAUCGGAAUUACUGGGCGUAAAGCGCGCGUAGGCGGUCUGAUAAGCCGGUUGUGAAAGCCCCGGGCUCAACCUGGGAACGGCAUCCGGAACUGUCAGGCUAGAGUGCAGGAGAGGAAGGUAGAAUUCCCGGUGUAGCGGUGAAAUGCGUAGAGAUCGGGAGGAAUACCAGUGGCGAAGGCGGCCUUCUGGACUGACACUGACGCUGAGGUGUGAAAGCGUGGGUAGCAAACAGGAUUAGAUACCCGGGUAGUC
rnacentral:rRNA from 1 species